rnacentral:rRNA from 1 species
CACGUAGGGGGCAAGCGUUGUCCGGAUUUAUUGGGCGUAAAGAGCUCGUAGGCGGUUCGGUAAGUUGGGUGUGAAACCUCCAGGCUCAACCUGGAGACGCCGCCCGAUACUGCUGUGACUAGAGUCCGGUAGGGGAGCGUGGAAUUCCUGGUGUAGCGGUGAAAUGCGUAGAUAUCAGGAGGAACACCGGUGGUGUAAACGGCUUUCUGGACCAUAACUGACGCUGAUGCACGAAAGCGUGGGUAGCAAACAGG